UGCGCCCGUAGCUCAAUUGGAUAGAGCGUUUGACUACGGAUCAAGAGGUUAGGGGUUCGACUCCUCUCGGGCGCGUUUU
rnacentral:tRNA from 8 species